UAACUAGUGGCUCUGAUCCUAAAUACAUGUUAUCGAGACUAACAAAUUGUUCUUCAGAUUUUCAUAGAGAAAUUGACAAGGACGAUCAAGGAAAUCCAGGUGUGUUUCUCAACAUGGCAUCCAAUUUUGACCUAUGAGAUUGUGAUGGGAUUCAAGGGUGUUUUCAUUAUUUUAAUGGCCUAAAAAAAGUCCAUUUCCUUCAUUAAACUGACCCUUGGAAAUUAGGUAUUUGCCAAUUUUCCUUGUCAGUGCUAUAUGAAACAACUAUUGGAUGGGCUCUGUUAUUGCCAUGCUAAUCAAGUGCUUCAUUGUGACAUCAAAGCACAUAACAUUCUCAUCAAUAAUGAGGGAUGUUUAAAGCUUGCAGAUUUUAGCCUUUCACGCUAGUGCCCCAGUGAUGACAUCAAUGAAGUUAAAAUUGAGGUUACUUCUUUGUGGCACAGGUAUUGCUAUGCCUUUGGACUUACCGGACACCCCUAGAUCCGUCAAAGGUAUCACUUUUCUAAUAGUGUCGACACCCCUACUUUGGAGUUACUGGACAAAAUGCUAACUCUAGAUCCGUCAAAGAACUCACUUAACCAUCUUAUAUCAAGAGGCGCAGUGUCAUUUUCGGGGUGGAUUACAGGAAAACUGGUAGUCAGUAGCAGAUAGCAUGUCAUAUUUUUUUUAUGCCAUUUGAUUCAGGUCAAAUGAUGUCUACAAGCACACGGAAAGCUGUGGAGUAUAGAGGAAAAUGACUUUUAAAUUUUCCUUACUGAAUUCAGGUCUUCCAAUCCAGAACAUUUUCAGGAAAUGGUCCAUUGAAGUUCGGUACUGAUGGACAAAUGGUAUGGGACUGCUGAACCAUGGGUCACUUGUACAAAAUUGAAAACCGAGUAUAUUAUACAUAUUGUGUAUCUCCUAUAAUUCCAUUUUAAUAAAUAGGUCCAAUG